rnacentral:rRNA from 1 species
AACGAACGCUGGCGGCAGGCCUAACACAUGCAAGUCGAGCGAGACCUUCGGGUCUAGCGGCGGACGGGUGAGUAACGCGUGGGAACGUGCCCUUUGGUACGGAAUAGCCCCGGGAAACUGGGAGUAAUACCGUAUAAGCUCUUCGGAGGAAAGAUUUAUCGCCAAAGGAUCGGCCCGCGUUGGAUUAGGUAGUUGGUGGGGUAAUGGCCUACCAAGCCGACGAUCCAUAGCUGGUUUGAGAGGAUGAUCAGCCACACUGGGACUGAGACACGGCCCAGACUCCUACGGGAGGCAGCAGUGGGGAAUCUUAGACAAUGGGCGCAAGCCUGAUCUAGCCAUGCCGCGUAAGCGAUGAAGGCCUUAGGGUUGUAAAGCUCUUUCAGUGGGGAAGAUAAUGACUGUACCCACAGAAGAAGCCCCGGCUAACUCCGUG